GGCUAGCAGUCAGGUUUCUAGCUGGAACAUAAAACAGGAAACGCAGCAGCAGGCUGAAGUAGAGCAGGAUGGAACAGCUGCGCCUUCACGGCUUCAGGAUAAGAAGCCACCAUCAGUCCUACCUAAAACCUACAAGAUAAUCAAAUUAGUUGGGCAACCCCUACCUGGCAUGGCGCAUUCCAACUCUCUGCCCGAGUCUUUUGGACGGAAUGGAGAAGAAGCAGUCACUGUGCAGAGGAAUAGAGGCAUAGAGGAUGACAUCCAGUCCUUGACGGUGCAGUGUACAAAUCAAAAUUUGGUGGAAUCCAAAUUUGGUGCUCAGGAGAAACCACAUACUACAAGUCAAGUGCUGUUGACUCAGCAGUCUUUGCCUGGAAAUCUUCAACAGUUUAGGAGGUCUAAAGCAUUUAGUGAAAGCAGUUUUUCAACUCUGAAACAGACCUUCAGUCAGGAUCACCAGGACUCAC
ensembl:lncRNA